UUGAAAAGAACUUUGAAGAGAGAGUUCAAGAGUACGUGAAACCGUUCAGGGGUAAACCUAAGAGACCCAAAAGAUCGAACGGGGAGAUUCAUCGUCGGCGACGCUGGCUUCGCGUCGGUGGGCGAUGUCCCGCGGGGCCUCACGGCCCGCGCGCGGACACGCCGCCGCGCGUCGAUGCCCGGCGUCCGUCGUCGUGCACUUCUCCCCCGGUAGAACGUCGCGACCCGCUGGGUGUCGGUCUACGGCCCGGGUGCGGUGUCUGCGGUGUCGCCGGUAAAACGGCGCGCCGUCAAACCCCCGGUCGCCCGGCCGGCUGCCCGGCGGUACGCGCAAGGUAUCAGGCCGCACCGUUCUCGUCGCGCGUGCGCGCGCGCCGGCUCCUCGCGAGUCGCGCGCCGCGCCGCGCGCGCGACGCCCGUGUGCGUCGAGGCCGUCGCAAGCGCGCGCCACGGUAACCCACGGAGGCUCAACGGACCCAGUGCCGUCCCCGUGCCUGGCCCGCUGUUGGCUCGUACGGCUAACCUUCGACAGGCCCGCGAACGUUCCCCGCCGCGCGCUCCCCCCGGGGGGCGCCGCGCGCGGGGUUCCGAUACCGGUCGGCGACGCUACUGCUUUGGGUGCUCUUAGGACCCGUCUUGAAACACGGACCAAGGAGUCUAACAUGUACGCGAGUCACAGGGACUCGGCGAGAUACCCAAGGGCGAAAUGAAAGUGAAGGUCGGCCCCGGUCGUCGACCGAGGGAGGAUGGGCCGCGCCGCGCGCGCGGCCCCGCACUCCCGGGGCGUCUCGUUCUCAUCGCGAGAAGAGGCGCACCCAGAGCGUACACGUUGGGACCCGAAAGAUGGUGAACUAUGCCUGGUCAGGACGAAGUCAGGGGAAACCCUGAUGGAGGUCCGUAGCGAUUCUGACGUGCAAAUCGAUCGUCGGAACUGGGUAUAGGGGCGAAAGACUAAUCGAACCAUCUAGUAGCUGGUUCCCUCCGAAGUUUCCCUCAGGAUAGCUGGCACUCGGCCGUUCCGCACGGAACGCGCGCGAGUCUCAUCUGGUAAAGCGAAUGAUUAGAGGCCUUGGGGCCGAAACGACCUCAACCUAUUCUCAAACUUUAAAUGGGUGAGAUCUCUGGCUUUCUUGAAACAUGAAGCCACGAGCUCUCUCGGAUCAGAGUGCCAAGUGGGCCAUUUUUGGUAAGCAGAACUGGCGCUGUGGGAUGAACCAAACGCGGAGUUAAGGCGCCCAACUCGACGCUCAUGGGACACCAUGAAAGGCGUUGGUUGCUUAAGACAGCAGGACGGUGGCCAUGGAAGUCGGAAUCCGCUAAGGAGUGUGUAACAACUCACCUGCCGAAGCAACUAGCCCUGAAAAUGGAUGGCGCUGAAGCGUCGAGCCUAUACUCCGCCGUCAGCGGCAAGUGGGGCCGGCCGCGUGCGCGCGCUCGCGCGCGCUCGCGCGCCGCCACGAGGCCCUGACGAGUAGGAGGGUCGCGGCGGUGUGCGCAGAAGGGUCU
rnacentral:rRNA from 1 species